AAAUGCAUACAUAAACACAUGUAUGUCUAUUUUUACAUGUGUUAUGUAUGCAUAUCU
rnacentral:pre_miRNA from 1 species